CUCCUCCAGCAGCGCAAUGUGAUCCACCAGCAAGGAGGGAUGCCAAUAAGGCUUCCGAUAAGUGAAGCAACAGCCAAUCAAGACCUUGGUGCAGACACUUUGUGAAGAUGAACACGGCAAGCCAGAGUUCUUCAACACUGAUGCUGUUGAUGUUUUAGACCAGAGAGGACAUCUCUGCAGAUAUGAUUUAAUUGAAGGUGAGUAAAAAGUGUGGAAUUAUAUAACCACAGGAAGGCUGACCUCAUGGAGGGAGAGGACUGGGGCCUAGAAUUGAGAGUCUAAGUGGUUAUCUAUAACUCUAAUUUUCCAUGCUUCACCAAGAAGGUAUGCCUUGAGAGCUUAAGUGUAAAGAAAGGAUAAGCUAUCUCAACUGCAGUUUCUCAUGAAUAGGUCAAGAACUGGAGUCAGACUAUAGAGGAUUACUUUACAAUAUAGUCCUGUAAGAGCAAAGACUGGGGAUCGAAAUGGACCUUUCUCCAAGAGGGUACAUGAGGAGAGGCAAGGACAGGCUGCAAGGGACCAGCAUGGGCAAGAAAUAUUUUGGGAAUAGUCUGCUAAAUUUUGAUUGUGUGUUGUAGAGGAAUCUGAGCACACUUAGAUGGUUCUCUGCCCAACCAUUCAUGCUUGAAUAUGCAUCACCAGGCACAAUUAUUGGAAGGGGAAGUGGGUUGGAGUUAGAAGAAUGUUGCUGUUUUACUGUCAUUUGGGGGAGAAUAUUGGACAGAGCCCUGGUGGACCAGUAGAAUCCUAGAGUCAGGAGCAAGGGAAGCAGGUAUGAUGACAAUGUUAGAUCUUCCUAUGUCAUUGUGGCAGAUGAAAGCUCAAUGUUUGUAGGAGACUACCAGAGUAAUUUGCCAGUAGCAGUUUGCCAGAGUUCAAUGGGAUAGAUUGUGUAUAGUGAGGAUAAAAAAGGCCCUGAAGUUAGUCCUUAAAAUGGAUAUCCCUUUAUCACUGCUGUGAAGCAAGUUGCCUUCCUUCAAAGCAAGAAAUACUUAUAUUGGGGAAAUAAGACUAAGGAAUGCCUUAAGGAGACCCACUAAGUCUCAAAAAGUCCUAGUGUAUGUCAUUGGCAAGAUCUAAUGGCCACUUGAUAAUGCUCUACUAGAACCCAACUGUCAGGCAGAAGAGUUAAGAAGCACAGAGCACAAGACAGAAGGAUGCAUGUUUUGUUUUUGUUCCACUAAGAAUGAAACACUUUGUCACAGAGAAGUCCAAAGGUAUAUUAUAUAAACACGAAGUAUCUUGCUUCUAGCUCAAUUUCCUAUCAUUUUUUAAAAAAAGUAUUUAAAAUUUUCCUCAUGGGCCAAAUUGGUGGCAUUUGUUUUUAAAGAGAGGUUUGAAGAAAAGAAAAAGAAGAAAGGAAAGGAUAUUUGCUGGAUUUUUUUAAGGAAAGCUCUUUGAAGCCUCCUGGGGCUGAUCCACUUAAGCUCCACUAGCUAGACAUUAACUUCACAGCUACACGAGCUUCAAACACUGAGAUGUGUGGAUUUUAUUGUAGCUCACUGUGACAAACUGAACCUUUUACUUCAAAAUAAAGAAUAAAGAAAAAAAUAACUCUUCCAUCAUGUCCUGGACAUAAGACAACAUAAAGCAAGGGUGAUGACAGACUUUUGGGCUUCUCUGUGAUCCUUAGUAUUUUCAAUUUUAAUGGCUUUUGUUGUUACAGGCAUUUCAAAGAAAAAUUAGGAGGAAUGUUGUCUACUUCUAGGCAUACAUAAGACUUUGAAAGUCUACCUAGAGGUUUUUAAUUCUUAAUGAAUUACACCGAGAAAGUAAGUUGUUUAGUGUGAAAGAUUGCAUCAUUUAAGUAUUUGUAUAUUGACAUUAUUAUAUUAUUAUAUUGUUUUUGGACAGGUUCUCACUAUGUAGCACUGGCUGCCUGGGACUCUGAGAAAGCAGCCUGCUUCUGCCUCCUAAGUAGUGGGAUUAAAGGCCUGCAUCACUGCAUCCAGCCUUUGAAGUAAAGGCCACUACUCAGACUUCCUCUAACAAACCAACAAAUAUAUUUUCCCCACUAUGCUCUUGACUACACUACUAAUUUUGCUCCUAUUUAAUUUUCUUU